AAGAUUUUAUAUUGAACAACAUUAUCCGUCCCACCAGCGACCUCAUCUGCAAUGUGACAAUGUCCCUGAGAUAUAAUUUACAGAAAAUUUGCUUAAUCCGUAAUAAAACGCUACAAUUAUCGCACUUGAAAAUACCAGUUAGCACAGACGCACCAUGAGUCCCCCACUGGGAAUUCAAGUAACGAGCCAUUAAACAAUUAAAGCAGCGCCAGACUCAACUCGCCAAAACCAAAGCUGAGAGCCGUACCCGGACCGGCGAUGACCAGCCAAGCAUUUGGCCAGCCAACCAAAUAUAAACAAGGAAAAUCCUUUGGAAAGGGCUAAAGGGGAAUCCCUAGGAAGCCAGCUAUGGAUGUGGGUGCGGCGUGGCCACAGGGGGUUCACAUACGCCCUUUCUGGAAGAGGCAACCACUGUGAAUAUGCUUCAAUUAUUAUGAGCAUACCGUGACCGCGCCUCCCGCACCCGACCACUGACCACCUACCACGCAUUCCCCUUGCCUCUGUUUGACGACUAUCACUUAACAGGAGACCAAAAGCACUUCGCACGACAACACCCUACUGGUCGCAAAGUGUGUAGAGCUCAUACGCAAUUAAAGGAAACCACGCUGUGCUUAAAGGAUUGAAGCCGGACUCUUAUUCCUAUUUGACAAAAUUAAAAAUGUGCCAUCGAACACACACUGUAUGAUAUUGCAAAUCUACCGAUCCAAUGUGUGUGAAACUGAAUGGAGAACCACUUUUUUAUACAGCGUGUAUUGGCGGCGCGGCGGAGAAAAUGUUUACCCCAUGGGUGGCUCCCGCUGCUUCUGAUGGGAACGGGCUCGUGAAAAGCUUCCUGAAGAAACGCACUUUCCACGUAUUUGCUGAUGGGUACAAGUCGUCCACCAAACCGAUCUCUGACGGAGUUCCCCAAAGUAGCCUCCUCGGCCCUACUCGACCAACCAGUAACCUUACAAACUUCUUUUAUUCUCUAUUUUCUAACAAACGUAUAAGGUUUCCACCUAGAAUAGAAACAAAUCCACAACAACCCAUAAAAAAAUACACAUUUAUAUAAAUAUAUUUUUGUUUGUAAUUUUUGUUGUUUUUAAAUAAAUGUUUUCUUUACGCUUUUGUCUCGUGUUUUAUUUUCAUUAUCAUUUCCUCUUUAAAUUUGGUUUUUCCAUUUUUUAGUUUUGCAAUUAAUUUAGGUUUGUGUCUAUUUGUUAAUUAAGUUUAAGUUUGGUUUGGAUUUCUCAUGUGGUUGUUGCCUCAUAAUUAAAGCGAACCGCUGAAGUUCUUCAUCAUGUAUAAGUAUGUUUUUCUAUGCAUAUAUAUUGUUUUGGGCUUUCAUUUAUCUUCGGUUGAAACUUGUAAUUACAAAUUAUGCAGUGUGUGUUAGUGUUUUUUAAGGUAUAUAUAACUUGUCUGCAGUUUUCGUAGAAUCUUUACCAAAAAGAAUAUUAGUUCACAAAUCUUCGGUUUCAAAUUUAUUUGAAAUUAUAGACGUAUGUGCGUGUGAAUAUGUCUGAAUUUACGUGUGUUUUCUUGUGUGGGUGUGUACAUAUAUGUAUAUAGUAAAAGUUAUUUAGUGUUGAUGUCACAAAUCAUUCAUUUAUCAUUCAGUAAGUAAAAAAAAUAUAUGUUCUCAUAUAAUAUACAAGGAGUUCUAUGGAAAUACAUACAAGUAGACUUGCUUUCCUUCUUUUCUGUGACUUUUUUCAUGUUUCGCUUUGUUUUGCUUACUUAGUUGGUUAUAAUGGGCCUAAAGUGCUAGGACAUAAUCGCAGAUUUUUAAAACGAGAUCUAACCAGUUUAACUGGGGGUUUUUCAUAGGUAUAGAGCAGUGGUCGGCACACACAUACCAUCACAAGUUUGCCUUGCAUUAGUGUGAGUGUAAAAAACACGAAGUUGGCGCAGCCUGACGUUUCUUUGUUUUGCACUGAGACUCUUUGCCGCAGCAGCAAAAAAGCGCGCCGAAGCUGAUAGAAAAAAGACCCGAAGACCCAUGCCGAAGUCAUACGAACAUCUACGUUAUACGUGAGCGAGCAGAGGAUGGGCAGAACACUUCCCUAUGCUCACUAGAUAGGCCGCUGCCGACCCCUGGUAUAGAGAGAUAGAUUGGAACCAAUCGAACCGAGGGGUAGUGCUGUAGUCGCGCAGGAGUUUCCGGUUGAUCUAAGGCCUUAUAUUCUAAAACCAUCAUCAGUUAUAUUGUAUUUUACUUCAAUUUGUAUUAAAUAAGUUUAAAUUUUUAAUUGCAGCUAUAUGUUUUUUGUCGGUUACUUUUAAAUAUAUCCUGGCUCUACUACCUCAUUACCUUAAUAUUUGCAUUGUUUAAUUAAGUUAAUGGGUGGCGUCGCGCGCUAAAAGCGUUUACUCUUUCAAACAAUCAUUUACUUUUUUGGUCUUUUUGUUAUAACCUUUGUAUUUAUGUAUUGUGUUAGUGUAUAUUGCAUUUUGACGAUCGCUUCCUUAGAUAAUCGUUGUUCCUAUGCGUCACUUGAGAACAGGCCACGAAAAAUGUUGCCAUACGUGUAGUUUUUCAUAUCUUUCGGCAUUUCCGGUUCAUGGGUUGGGGGUUGCUACUAGGAUCACGAAUGUCUUGGUAAUAUCUCGUAUAUAUAUCAAUGCUUUUAUAAAAUAUCCAAAGCGUAUUUAUAUAGAUGCACUUGUUUGUUUUGCACAUUUUAGUAAAUGUUAUAUCCUCCUUUUUGCUAGUUGUUACUUUCCCGCCUUUUAUUAUACCCGUUACUCGUAGAGUAAAAGGGUAUACUAGAUUCGUCGGAAAGUAUGUAACAGGCAGAAGGAAGCGUUUCCGACCCCAUAAAGUAUAU